rnacentral:misc_RNA from 1 species
UCUGGCGGCCGAAAGGCUGCUGGUUCUUCCACGUCGUUGGCAAAUGGGUGCAAAAAUAUGGGAUGUAUAGUGCCUGUUCUCGCGCUCUGUGGACUUUCGGUCGUCGUCCUCAUAGCAGACCCGUUGUGCUAAGCAUGACGGGAUGCUUGGCCGUCUUGACCGUUGUGGCUACGCUGGCGCAUGAGCUGUUGUGGACAUGUGGCUGCCUGGAGGCCCCCCGUCGUGUGACGGCCGACUCCCGGUGCAGUGUCCUUUCAAUUGUAUUGGUUUCAAAACCUUUGCCGUUGACGAGUGCUUGCGUUCUGCUACCCGUUCUGCGGGAAGUAGACCUUCGUACCAGUUGCCUUCGUCGCGUGCGUCCUUUGGGCGUGUCGCGUCGAUCACCUAGCGCUUGCGGUGUUGCCUCGCGGCGUCAGCCAUCUAGGCCGGCAUCGUCUAGGACACCUCGCACUCGCUCUUGGUCUCGGAUGACGCUCAUUGUAUAGGCUCGUGGCAUUUUGGUGCCUCGUUCCUCGCAAAAGUCCCGUCGGAAACGUGACAGUUGGCUCGGCUACCGUCGCCGUUAGACCCCUCGUGGUCUAGCGCGGCUGUUAGCCGUUGCUAGCUCGUCCAUGAGGACGUGCU